UUUUUUGUAGAAAUAUGUCCCAUAUAAUAUUUGGGAUAUACUUAUACUAAAA
rnacentral:pre_miRNA from 1 species